CCAAUAAUCGAAAGUGGAUAGUCAUGUAAUCUCCAGCCCUCACGGGCCAGAGGGAAUAUAAUCCAAUACCAGACCGCCAUUUAAACUGGAGAGAGAGAGAAAAACAAACUUUCCAAGGAGGGAAGAGUCGCCGGAGUUGAACGUUUCCCAGGAUUCUACACAGGAUCCUAUGGUUACCCUGUUCACAGAGAUUUCAAACUUGGCAUUGCAGUGGGUAACAGCUGGGACCACGUUGGCCUGGGGCUGCCACAUGAAGCCGGGCAUUCCACCCUGGCAAGCUGUGCAGCUGAAUCAGAUGGAAGAAAAGUCGAACAAUAAAUUGCGGAGUUUCGCUAAGACCUCAGCUACAAGAAGUAGAUCUUGAAUUGAAGCUAUCUGUCAGCACACUUUUACAGAAAUGAAAUGCGACCAGCUCUGUGCAGCUAAUGGAAGGAUUCUUAACUAAAGUUCUAAUUUACCUCUUGCGAAGUUCAAAUCCCUGUCGAGAAGAAAUCGACAUCGAUCCAACCCCUCAGAGCCAGGUUCUGCCACUACAGCAAAGAACGUUCAACCAUACAAGGGAGUUUCGACACGCACAGCAAACUCCCUUAAACUGUACGGAUCUGUUUUGAUCAGCCAAAUUCAGCCGACAUUGCUUUACCGGAACUCGAAGUUUGCGAUUUUGUCGCGACCGCUGUGUUUUGCCUUCGAGGGAAGAAGUUGAGAAGCUGGUGAUGCAGCUUAUACGAUGGAUACACCUUACACAACUUGCUGAAUGACAUUGUCACUGUCAUAGUUGUAAAAGCCUUUGUUCAAACUGAAUUUCAACAACAACUGAAGCAAGGAAAAGGGGACGAGGACACAAAGCAAAGCACUAAUCCACUCAAAGAAGGCAGGCACAAAAUAAAGGAAGCAGGAACAGAGACUGGGCCCCAGAGCAAAUCCAAGUGCAGAAAAUAUUGUGC